rnacentral:piRNA from 1 species
ACACUUGAGUGUCACUGUUGAGC